CGGGGGUGGAGGUAACGCGUGGAUAACCUGCCUCACACUGGGGGAUAACAGUUAGAAAUGACUGCUAAUACCGCAUAAGCGCACAGUACCGCAUGGUACAGUGUGAAAAACUACCGGUGGUGUGAGAUGGAUCCGCGUCUGAUUAGCCAGUUGGCGGGGUAACGGCCCACCAAAGCGACGAUCAGUAGCCGACCUGAGAGGGUGACCGGCCACAUUGGGACUGAGACACGGCCCAA
rnacentral:rRNA from 1 species